AAGUGAGAACACCAUACUAUAAAAUAAGUAUAAAUAUUCACAUUAAUUUUCUUCUUUUCAAUUUUCUCAUCAUCUAUUCUUGCUCUCAGUAUGAUUUAAUAAAAACAUUCAGGCAUUUAUAUCCAACUAAGCAACCCUUAAUUAUCAAAUUGAAAUUAGAAAAUAUUUGGGCAUUCAGACAUCGUUUUUUUUAUUAUCAAAUUAAAAUUAGAAAACAUUCGGGUAUUCAGGCAUUCUUUUUUUAUUAUCAAACACCAUUUUAUUUAGAGAUUUUUCGACAUAUAUUACUGUAACAUUUUGAAUUAGGGAAAAUGUAUUGGUAGAUUUAUGUUCUCCUAGUGAGUUUACCAAAAUAAAUAUUAACAUUAUUUGAAAAUAAUUAUAAGUAAAUAAUAUGUCAAAAAAAAAUUAUGUAGUAAACAAUAAAUUCAGCUAAAGCUCACUAAAAUGUGUAGAAGAAAAUGAAGGAUUCGUUGGAGUCGCACAUGAAAAUGGAGCUCUCUCCAAAGAUGUAUAAUACUUAUAUAUAACUUCAUACCCUUAUUUUGUUAAGUAAGGAGUUUUACAAAGUUUGUUGCUAAUUAGUAAAGGUUAUUUUGACUUGUGGCAAGAAUUGAUCUUUCAAAAUAAAAAGAGCCAAAUAUAAAGAAAAUGGUACAAAAAUUGUUAACCAAAAUUUUCUAAAUUUUAAUGUUUUGUUUGUUGUCUAGUAAAAUAAGAAUAAUUUUGUAAUUAUUCUUACUAAAUUUUGAUUAUAAUUGUUCUCGCAUAAAUCUGGACACAAAUAUCUAGUCACACUUGUUCGUUAUAUCGGUGUAUUAUAAGUUAAGUAUAAAUAAGAGAGAUACAAUGAUUUAUAGUAAUUCACUCUCUGUAAUCGACAGUAAUAGAGCUACGUCUACUUCAAAUUUUAUUUCUCAUGAGAUGAAUUACAGAUAAUGACUAAGUUUGGAUGCUCUAAUUUCUAGGGAGAGAUACUCUGACUUCAUGAGUACUUUUUUGAACUUCAAAAAAUGAACUAGUAGAGCUCUUCUUUAUAGGGAAUGUAAUACCUUAAGGUUUAAUAACCGGAUUAGCAACCCUAAUAAACUAGAUUAAUUAUGUAUUAAUAAGGAAUUAUAUUAUUAUAUAAUUUAAUAUGUGAAAACUAUUAUGAUAUAUUGCAUUUUAAGAUCUCGUUAGUGUGUCAGGGGUAUUUUCGUAAUUUCGUCACGAGAAGGGUAAAAUCAUAAUUUUAUGAUAUACUGUGUUUAUGAAUUAUAUUAUUAUAUAAUAUGUUUAUUCUGUCUAUCUGCAGGUAUUUUUUGACAAGUCAGCACGGUAUAGUAACAACUAGGUAUUUUAAGCCGAACCAAAUUUGGGGUCCAAAAUACAUUUUCAGAAUUUAUUUAUGACAUUUAUAUGAUAAAUGAGAAAAUUUGAAUUAUUGUGUGUGUGCUAAAUGACAAUAUUGCCCUUAUUUAUAUGUGUAUGAUAUAUAUGGCCUUAGGGGUAUUUUGGUCAUUUGACCACAUAAGUCAGUAUUCAACAAAAUCAAUUUUUUGUUUAGAAAUUAGAAAACCAUUUUCUGAGUUUGAACCCCCUUAACCGACCCCUCUCUCUCUCUCACCCUCUCUAUUUUUUAUUUCAAUUGAUUUGGAAGAAAAGCUUGAAGUUGGUGUGAUUUUGCUUGCUUGGGAACUUAGAGAAUUUAAGGAGAGGAGAGGAGCAUAUCCGUUUACCUGAAGAGAAAGUAAAAUAGCAUAUCCGACUUCUCCCAUGAAAAAGUAACUAGUGGAACAUAGAGAAGGUAUACCCUACACUACACCUAAAUAAAUGUUGUGUUAUUACCAAAAAAAAAAA